UGGGGAAUAUUGCACAAUGGGCGAAAGCCUGAUGCAGCGACGCCGCGUGAGCGAAGAAGUAUUUCGGUAUGUAAAGCUCUAUCAGCAGGGAAGAAAAUGACGGUACCUGACUAAGAAGCCCCGGCUAACUACGUGCCAGCAGCCGCGGUAAUACGUAGGGGGCAAGCGUUAUCCGGAUUUACUGGGUGUAAAGGGAGCGUAGGCGGCAAGGCAAGUCUGAUGUGAAAACCCGGGGCUCAACCCCGGGACUGCAUUGGAAACUGCUUAGCUAGAGUGUCGGAGAGGUAAGUGGAAUUCCUAGUGUAGCGGUGAAAUGCGUAGAUAUUAGGAGGAACACCAGUGGCGAAGGCGACUUACUGGACGAUAACUGACGCUGAGGCUCGAAAGCGUGGGGAGCAAACAGG
rnacentral:rRNA from 1 species